GAGGACGCUGCGGGUUCGCCGUGCUCAUUGGCUGAGGAGAGAAGGGGGAAGGCGCAGCGCAGCCGUGUUCUUCUCGUAUUGGUCAGCGGGACGAACGCUGCGGCCAAUCGGCAGCCAGGAUGAGAGGAAGGCCGGCACAGGGAGCAGGAGGGGGCGGGCCUGUGUUGCCGUAGCAGCAAGACGCCGCGAGGCGGGGCAAGCCGCGCAGAGGAUAUGAUACAGCUGGAAAAGACUUGGAGAAGGAUGACAAAGACAGCAGAAGGCAGAGAAGGACUUUAUUACCAGUAGCAGCAGAUCUACAGAGAAUGAGUCAAGCUGGUGACGAAAGUUCCAGUUCUGAUGAAAAAGAAUUGGAAGUUGAGAAGGAGCAACCUAUCUGUGCCUUAGCUCCAACAGUAUAUACCCGAGAUGAAGGAUCCACUGAUGUAACAUCAAGUCCUGCAUUUCAGUGUUUAGAUGAGGUAUCAUGUACUCUAGUUUUCUUAGCUACAGCGGUGCAUAUUGUGUCAAAAUCAAAUAAUUGAAAAUGUAUAUUUUUUUGUUAAUAGUUGAAGCACGCUACCAUAGGUUAUCUAUAGCUUUUCUAUCUUCUCUAAUUUUUGUUCUAAGGCAUAAGAAUGUUUUAUGAAGAAGGACCAAGCAUAUACUUCUUGCUGGAGACGGUGUGCCUAAUGGAUACCCGUGUUGCUCCUUUCAGGGAGUGUUGCUUUAAAAGGUCACCGCAGAGGUUGUUGCAUCGAUACUAGAUUAAAUCUUGGAAUAUCUUUCAAAAUUUUUCCACACAAAGUAUUUUGUAUCAUAUUUUCUCUGAAUUACCAGCUAGUCAUUUAUACCUUUGUAGCAGUAAAUACUUAUCAGAAGGAACACCUUUUGAUGUUAAGAUUUAUUUGAGAACAAAUAUAGGCCUUCUGGCAGUAAACCUUCCAACCAAAUCAGUCUUGUAUUUCUCGUGAAAAUAGCAGAAAUUUCAAAAAGUCAAGCUUGCAGAACUUUUUCCUUCAUUUUUAAUAACACAUAGUAACAGUGUUUAGUCAUGUGGAGUUGGGAAAAUUAUUAAAAGCUGGCUAGAGGUUUGAACAAAAGCCCCUCAGUCCAUCAUGACUUACUUUUUUCAUGAAGCAUUUUUAUUUAUCACCAAGAUGACAUCAAAUAUAACUCAGUACUUCCACUGCUGUUGGUUAGAGGACUGUCAUACAUUCAAAAAAUGAACUUUUCACUUCUUUUAGCCUUUGCUAUUAUGUCCUUGAAAUGAAGACUUUUGCUCUAAUACUUCUAAUUGAUUCUCUUGUCUUGUGUAUCUUAACUCAUAAUCCUGUUCUCUUCUAGUGUAUACUUUUAGAAAUAAAUAAAUCUGUAUGAUGUGAAUAAGUUUAAUGGAAAACUACACAUUCUGGUACCUACUUUAUGAAACAAAUAUACCACUUAGAUAAAUUAAGAUUCUAUAUACUUUGCUAGUUAAUUUUGAAUUUUGUGCAUUAUGGACAAGGUAUAUGCAACUGUAUUCUUAAAAGCAAUGCAAAUAUAUUGAAUUUUGUCAUGUCCAUUAUCUCAAUUUUAAGAUAUAUUAACAAAUUAAUAAAAUAAAUAUUCUACUAGUAACUAGCUUCAUCAAAAUGGUCUGAAGCCAGUCUUCCUUUCUUUGCUUUCUAAUUGCUUUCUUUUCCAACAGAUGUUACAAUUAUACAUUUCACCUCUGUCUGCAACUCUCUUUAUCCUUAUGUCAUCAUUGUUACUUUACUUUCACUGCUGUAACAACACAGGAGAUACUGAAAUUGCCAUUUGCAGUGAGAAAUCUACCAAACAUGACACAAAACUGGUGUAAAUGCUCAAAAUGAAGAGAGCAGGGGCAAUGGAAAUAAAUUACAACCAAAUUGCCUCCUGCCUACUCUCAUAAUUUCUCUCCUCAUAAUUUUGGCUCUUCCCUGUGCUGUAGCAGCAUUAUUUCCCACUAAUUAUUUUCCUUUCUUCCACCCGAUCCAGGCUCCUUUAAUAAGAACAUAAAUGAAUAGAAUAAAUGUCUGUAUGUCUGUUGUCAUAAUGAUGCUGCUGGUAUUCAGUUUGUAAUCUAUUAUAAUCUCCAAAUCCUUUUCAGAUACUAGGCCUUUUUUUUUUUUUUUGACCCAAUUAAGAUUAAAUCCUAAAUAUAGAAAAGAGCCCUACUCUGUACAUCUUUUCAAUUCAAUAGUGAAUCAUUGACAGCUACACUCUAGGGACAGUUUUCCAGCUACUAUAUCUUUACAAAAUUACAAAGGUUUGAUAAAAUUGAUGAUCUGCUUACAAAAUAUGUUGUUUCAUCUUUCUGAUUGAAAUGACUAUCCAAAACUCAGUAAUCUUCAGGUUCUUUCAAGAAGAAGAAAUUAGUUUGAUGGACUAAUAUCUUUUUUUUCUAUCUAGUUAAUGCUGUUUAUU